GUAGGUUAUUGCCAGGGUUUUUAUUUUUAUACUUUAAAUUUUGAUUUUAUUUUUAUGUUAUUUAAAUAAUACAUUUAAAAACACCAAUAUUUAAAUAACAUAAAAAUAAAAUAUAUAUUGACAUGGAUUAAACAAAGGUAUAUAUUAUUUUAUGUUGCAUAAACAAAUUGGCAAAAUAGAGAUGGAAGAUGAAAAUAUGGUCAAAGUAAUAAGAGUC
rnacentral:misc_RNA from 5 species